rnacentral:rRNA from 1 species
CAGUCGCCGCGGUAAUACGUGGGGUGCGAGCGUUAAUCGGAAUUACUGGGCAUAAAGCGUGCGCAGGCGGUUGUGUAAGACAGGUGUGAAAUCCCCGGGCUUAACCUGGGAACUGCGCUUGUGACUGCACAGCUAGAGUAUGGCAGAGGGGGGUGGAAUUCCACGUGUAGCAGUGAAAUGCGUAGAGAUGUGGAGGAACACCGAUGGCGAAGGCAGCCCCCUGGGCCAAUACUGACGCUCAUGCACGAAAGCGUGGGGAGCAAACAGGAUUAGAUACCCGCGUAGUCCCUGUCUCUUAUAU